UUAGAGACUAGAAACACAAUUAAGAGGCACAAAUCCACACAGAAAAUAUGCAUAUUUUGUCUCCUUUCCCCCCAAAACAAGCUGCAUAUACUUGUGUAAACUUGUUGAUUUGUAAAACAUGUCUAGUACUGCAGACAAAUGUGUGGGAUGAAAGGAAAUAAAAGCCAUGAAAACAGGGCCAGGUGCAGUGGAAUAAGUUCUCCUAGCUCAGAAGGAUCUCAACCUCUUGCAAGUUACUUUUCACUUUUAAGGGCCCUUAAAGAAGCAUUUGCUUAGCUCUGUAUCCAGGCCAUCUCUCCCUCCCCGAAGAGCAACAGACCAGCAACUGACAUUAAGGUCACAUGGGUGGGUGGGGAGUAGAAUUGCGGGGGUGACAGUUCCAGCCAAUCCAGACAACGAAUCAUUGUUUGGAGGAACCAGAGCCUCAAAGGGUGAGUGCACUGACUAGGGCUGGCUCUCCAUCUGUUCACACACUUGUUGAGUGCCUACUCUAUGCCAAAGCACUGUGUUUUGGUGCCCUGGGGAACACAAAAUUGGGAUAGCUCCUGCCCUCAGGGCUUAAUAAAGUAGCUCUCAGUCAAGGGUUAGAGCAAGGGUUGACAAACUACAGCCCAAAAGGGCCACCCGUUUGUGUAAAUAAAGUUUUAUUGGAACACCAGCCACACUCAUUCGUGUUCAUGUAGUGUCUGUGGCAGCUUUUACAUUACAACAGCAGGGCUGAGCAUUUGCAGCAGAGGCUAUAUGGCCUGCAAAGCCUAAAAUCUUCACUUUCUACCCCUUUACAAAAAAGUUUGCCAAUUCCUGCUAGAGAAGAGAUGACAUACAACUAAGAACUUAAACGAGUGAUCAGGGAACACAAAUUAUUUACAUAAUAAAAUUUCAGAGAGGGGGGGCUGGCUGAAUUUAAAAAGCAUGAAUUACGUGAGGCUUGAUUACUGUGAAGAGAUAAGUCAACUUAAAGUUACUUACAUUUAACAUACAAUUUAUAUGCACUGGUUUAAAACACGCACACACACACACAAAAUGUAACACAAGCCAACUACUGAUCUGGUACAGAUGACAAAAGGGUGAUCAGUUCCAACUUCAAAAGGAAAACUGGCUAUGAUGAGUCCAUAUUGAAAAAGUCACUGUCAUUUAUGGGUGGUCCAAGGGAUUUUUUUCAAGGGUAAUUUUACCUGCUUCAUUGUUCAUUUAAGGGUACACACUGAACUUUGGAACUAACGCUUGCAUGGGUUUGUGCCUCCAAAGCAGUCAACACUGAAGUCUUGGCUGGGCUCAGUGGCUCCUGCCUGUAAUCCCAGCGCUUUGGGAGACUGAGGCGGGAGGCUCACUUAAGUCCAGGAGUUCGAGACCAGCCUGGGCAACACAGUGAGACCCCAUCUCUAUUUCAAAAAUUAUAAAAUAAUAAAAAGAAAAUAAUCUCUCUGCAUAAGCAACAACAACAAACCCCACUAAGGUGUUGAAGGACCCAUUUUAAUGAAUAGUUAAGAAUGGUUUGUAUGUUAUACUCUGCUUUUUUAUGUUUUGACUUUUAAACAAAGAAAAAUAGGCUGCUUUUGCAUUUAGGGUUGAUCAAAGCAGUCUGUCUUUUUUUUGUUGUUUUGGUAGAGACAGGGUCUCGCCAUGUUUACCCAGGCUGGUCUUGAAGUCCUGAGCUCAAGCAAUCCUCCCACCUUGGCCCUCCUCAAAGUGCUGAGAUUACAGGCGGGAGCCACCGCACCUAGCAUCUUUGCUAUUUGAAACAUCAAAUGAAAUCAUACUAAUGUGAGAGCUGAAUUCCAUUGAAAGGAAAAGCUCAUUAAAUAACAAUCGCCAUUGUCUGGCCAUGGGGAGACUACUAGAAUUAAUGAGUGUUUAUAGUUCUUGCCCUCUCAUCCUCAAACAUCUUAGAUAAAAUCCCAAGAGACUGCUGCUGAAAGCGUCCUGCUGUAAAUUACAAGAAAAUCAGCCCAGCUUCAAGCAGAAAAUGCCAAGGACCAGGGCUGGGGAGCAGAUUUCACGUAAGAACAUCCAGACACUAAGAAAACACCAAGGAAUACUGUAUAAGAGACAUUGCAGUCACGUUGUGGGAGCUGCCACUGAGAUGCAGAGUGUGGGUCUGCUUGGAGAAAAGGCUCUCACAUUCCAAGCCGCUGUCCUUACGUGUAAAAGCUUUGAGGUGCACCCUCUUCCACACUAGCUGAUGUAGGAGUUAGAGGUAGUAAACGUGUGCAUACAAAACUCAAACCUGUUUUGAAAAGCCCACCGUAGAAAGCAUGCUUAAAAGAUGGAAUUCGGCUGUAUGCCAGAAAAUCAGUAGCAUUAUGGAAGGAAAUUGAACUAGAAGUUUAAAAAACAGCCAACAUGCAGGCCCUUCCCCACAGUAGAAGGGAGCCUGGGUAUUGUGCAAUCUCACACCCACUGAAAAAAUGCCACGCAUGCCUCUAAAUGCUCUGAGAAAGAAUGCUUUGCACUAAGCCACGGCAAUACACGCCCCGUGACUUAGGAAAGCCAGCGUGAAGUGCUUCAUUUCUCAUCCCGAUGCACAAAACACAGGGCUCCAUGGGCCCGACAUUUCAGUCCAGCCUGAAAAGACUAGUGAGCACAGCCCUAAAAUUGUCCAUUCAAGGCAAAAAGCACUUUCUUAUAUCUCGUGACAAAAAAAAAAAAAGAAAUAAAAAUGAAAAUAGAACCACA
rnacentral:lncRNA from 1 species